ensembl:lncRNA
CACUGAGGUCCAUGAGAAGAACCAGAAGCUGAAGAAGGAGAUUACCUUCUCUAGAAACCUGCUCAGCCAGCUCCUGAUGGAGAACACAUGUAGGAAGAAGUUGGUCCCACUGAAGCAGGAGAGCAAGGAGGUACAUCUUGAUUGUGCACUGAACCAGAAAUAUUUGGUUGACUUCAACAAGAAAGAUAAAGACCAUCAACGGCCAGAACCAGCAUUAUCAGGUCUCAGAAAGUGCAAGAGAGCUGGAAUUGGACACACCCCAGUAAGAGAGCUUCCUGAAGAAUAAGUUGCUUUCUCAGGAGUCCCUGAUGACCAACAUCCUGAAUGGUAACAACAUUUUUUGGAUGAGUAUUCAUCCUCUGAGUUAAUUU